CUUAACCGCUACAGAGCAACUCAUCGUGGCCAUCUUGGGUGACUGUUCUAACUAGGUUUGGUGCAGCCGAUGCUCAGGAGGAGAUAACGGUCAGGGUGGGACACAGCAGCAAGCACCAUCGUGGAAGCUGAGAGCAGCCAACUCAGACACCCGAGCCUGCUGCCACCUUCAUCUCAGACUUCCGGAGUCCAGAACAAUGAGAAGCACUCAGUCCCCCACUGGAGUUCAAAAAGGAAAAAGGAAUGACCAUCAUUGAUGAAGAGCCUUCGUGGUAAUCUCCAAGGCUGGGGAGGACAAGUUAGCAAAACAGAAGAAAGCAAGAACCCUGCCAGGGUUCACAUGUCCUGUGACUUAUUUAGUAAAAUCCAUAAUUCCUGGAAAUUCUCUAAUACCUGCUAAUACAAACAGAGCUAC